GGAUACGAUCAUACCAGCACUAAAGCACCGGAUCCCAUCAGAACUCCGAAGUUAAGCGUGCUUGGGCGAGAGUAGUACUAGGAUGGGUGACCUCCUGGGAAGUCCUCGUGUUGCAUUCC
rnacentral:rRNA from 1 species